rnacentral:rRNA from 1 species
GUAGGUGGCAAGCGUUGUCCGGAUUUAUUGGGUUUAAAGGGUGCGUAGGCGGCUUUGUAAGUCAGUGGUGAAAUACGGUAGCUCAACUAUCGAGGUGCCAUUGAUACUGCGGAGCUUGAGUACAGAUGAGGUAGGCGGAAUUGACGGUGUAGCGGUGAAAUGCUUAGAUAUCGUCAAGAACACCUAUAGCGAAGGCAGCUUACUAGGCUGUAACUGACGCUGAGGCACGAAAGUGUGGGGAUCAAACAGGAUUAGAUACCCUGGUAGUCCACACUGUAAACGUUGAUUACUCGCUGUGUGCGAUAUACAGUACGCGGCCAAGCGAAARGCGCUAAGUAAAYCCACCUGGGGAGUACGCCGGS